rnacentral:rRNA from 1 species
UACAGAGGUCCCAAGCGUUGUUCGGAUUCACUGGGCGUAAAGGGUGCGUAGGUGGUGAGGUAAGUCAGACGUGAAAUCCCCAGGCUCAACCUGGGAACUGCGUCUGAUACUGGAUGGCUUGAAUCCGGGAGAGGGAUGCAGAAUUCCAGGUGUAGCGGUGAAAUGCGUAGAUAUCUGGAGGAAUACCGGUGGCGAAGGCGGCAUCCUGGACCGGCAUUGACGCUGAGGAGCGAAAGCUAGGGGAGCAAACGGG